AAAAAGCAGUACUGGUCGGCCUACAGUCACUCCCAUAACAUCUGAUGAUGAUGACGCUGCGGAAGCAGGUCCAUCAAAAGAAGUCUUGAGCAGCAGAAGGCGGACUCCUGUAGCACACCAAACAAUAAUACAUGUGCCAACAAAGAAAGCAAGGUCUGAUGUCCAAUCACAACCACAGCAGUCUACCUCGCCACGAAGAUUGUCUACAGUUUCUUUGGUCCCACCACUCCAAAUUUUGGUCACACCUCCAAGACGCCAACCACACUCCCCUCAUCUUGAUUAUUCUAGUACUGGUACCAGCAUCCUGACGCAAUAGCAGCAACACAGUGACAUGGAUGAGACAAUCAUGUUACAAAUGCAGCCAUUAAUCAAAGGAAUCAGCCACCCAGCACCUGUGAGUACAUCACCACAGCAAAGCACUCCACCACCACAACACAGCCCGACAACAGCAGUAGCACAAGGCCCUGAUCAAGUGUUUUGGGACAGUUGGGCUACACAGCAGGCCACUAAUCAAGAUUGCCUGCGUAGGCAGACCCAAAUUUUUGCUAACCUACCAUCUCACCUCAGAAGAAUCAGCAGAAAUAUCAGUCACCAACAACCACCAGAAUUGCCAAUACCAUGGAAAUAAUGCGUGCAGACAUUACACAUGUCAUGGGCAACUUACAACACAUAAUGGAAGAACAGCACAGACAACAGCAAAGCUACAUCAACAUCUUAGAAAACAAUCAAAUGAUCAAUGAAUAUAUCACCAGAAUUUUAGAGAAUCAAAAUGCUGCAACACGUGAACUUAAUGCCACCCUCACAAACCUCAAUGAAACACUCAGAUCCCAGCACCAACAGCAACCAAGCAGCAGUUCUGGUAUGACUACUCCUAUUCUAUCGCCAGUGUCCUCACCACCAAGGCACUCCACCAGAGCACGCCAACACGACAGUGGUAAAUGCAAAGGCCAGUCCAAGCAGCCAACCCCAAAAAAAUAAAAAAUAGAGACACCGAUUUCUGUAUAGAGAAGAAAAUAAUCACAGUUAGUAAGUGUAGGUUUGUCUCAAUAUAUAUAACACUUAGCACCUUGUCAAUUUGUUGAACAUCAUUAAUUAUAAGUGUUACAAACAACAACAGGAUUUUUGCCAACACAUUUAUUCUUUAACAUCUUUGUAUUUUUUUGGAGGAAAAAGUAAUUUGAUCUGCACAUUGCUCGUAGCAUGCAGUAACAAGACCACUUGAUUUUUUUCUAAUCAUUACUCUUUCUAGAUUCCAAUCAUUCUCAUAUCUUGCAGGCAGACUAAUUGGCAGCCAUGCAGAUUCAUCCAUGACCAAUACAACUUACAAUGUGAUUUUUAACUCUUUUACAUUUCUACUCUAGAUGACAUUACAAAAAUAACACAAUUGAGUUGCCUAAAAAGGUACUAAUAUGUUGUGAAACAAUUUAGAUAAUUCAGUCCCAAAAUAAAUGACAUUAUUGUUGUGCCAUGUUUGUGUGUGUUAAAAAUGAGUAAUCAGAUUAUUACACAUGAUGCAGCAACAAAGAAAUUAAAAAUAUUUUAAUCUACACAAAUAAUGUGUAUAAUAAUGAAUAUAUGUUGAAAACGGUGUAUUGACUUACAAAUCACCAAGUUUAC